rnacentral:rRNA from 1 species
UACAGAGGGUGCGAGCGUUGUUCGGAUUUACUGGGCGUAAAGCGCACGUAGGCGGAUUGUUAAGUCAGGGGUGAAAUCCCGGGGCUCAACCUCGGAACUGCCUUUGAUACUGCAAAUCUCGAGUCCGGAAGAGGUGAGUGGAAUUCCUAGUGUAGAGGUGAAAUUCGUAGAUAUUAGGAAGAACACCAGUGGCGAAGGCGGCUCACUGGUCCGGUACUGACGCUGAGGUGCGAAAGCGUGGGGAGCAAACAGGG